GGGGAUGUAGCUCAGAUGGUAGAGCGCUCGCUUAGCAUGUGAGAGGUACGUGGAUCGAUGCCCCGCAUCUCCA
rnacentral:tRNA from 1 species